rnacentral:rRNA from 1 species
GUGUCAGCAGCCGCGGUAAUACGUAGGUGGCAAGCGUUGUCCGGAUUUAUUGGGUUUAAAGGGUGCGUAGGCGGCCCUGUAAGUCAGUGCUGAAAUCCCCCGGCUUAACCGGGGUGGUGGCAUUGAUACUGCAGGGCUUGAGUACAGAUGAGGUAGGCGGAAUUGACGGUGUAGCGGUGAAAUGCAUAGAUAUCGUCAAGAACACCGAUAGCGAAGGCAGCUUACUGGGCUGUAACUGACGCUGAUGCACGAAAGUGUGGGGAUCAAACAGGAUUAGAUACCCCCGUAGUCC